GUUAAGAUGGCAGAGCCCGGUAAUUGCACAAGACUUAAGAUCUUGCCACCAGAGGUUCAACUCCUCUUCUUAACA
rnacentral:tRNA from 1 species